rnacentral:lncRNA from 1 species
AUCCGCGGGUCUUUGCCAGGAAAUUUUAUCACAAAAUGGCGGGAAGGAUGCUGGUACCCUUUCCUCUGAAUUCUCUUAUAAAUUCAAGCUCUUACAUACUUGAAGACCACAUGUAUCGUCUUCAAGUGUCUGAAGGACCUCCUCUAUGGACUCGUUAGCUCUGGGCUUCCCUUUCUGCUAAUUUGAAACUAGCCGUUUAAACCAAAACCGAACAAAUUAUAUAUUGCCAUAUAUCUGUUGAAAUCUAUGCACUCAGGAGGGGGCAAGUUUGACAUACAUAAUAGACUAAGGAUAUGCCAACUUGAAAUGGAGGAAGAAAGAAUACGUGAGAAUAUCGCAAGCUUCAUUCAUUGAUUGGAACCAAGCCUCGUGGUGACUGACAUUCACGGAGGGACGUUAUUUGAUGUCGUGCCAUUCUGCAAUGGACAUCAUUCUAACGAGGAUGGGUGGAGAGCAGGAAACGGACCUUUUGGAGUCUGGUCUUGGGGUCGAUCUAAUAGAAUUCCUGGUCCUGAUCCUGGUCCUGGUAUACUGCAUCAUAUUAUGAGGCAAAAGCCAUUCGGAUUUCUGAAGCGAAGGUGUGACUGAACAGAAAAACCUUCUGAAGAUUCGUAUUGAAACUUUCCAGCAAAGAAAACAGGUACGAAUUACAGGAAGCAUUGUGGUGAUUAUUUUACAAGGACACUGUAAGUAUACUUGCCCUGUCGAUAAUUAUGUCUGUCUGUCCACCCGGCUGUCCGUCUGUCCGUCCCCUAUUCCCUCUUAUCAGGGGCGUCGACUCUGGAGUAUAGAUGAUUAGUUAUGUAGCACCCAUUGACAUAGAGAUUUGAUUUGAACCUAUUGUGAGGGAUUUGUCUGUCCUAAAGCCUCGACAUGGCUUGGCUCUCAUGUCUUUAUACGAUCUAAACCACCAUUUAUUACCAAAAUUAAUUUCACAUACAACAACGAAUAUAUGCAGAUGUAUUUUUUAUAAUACAUAUUUAGGUAAAAGGAACUAACAAAAUAGCACAAUGCCGGUUGUGGUUAGUUCCAUUCAAAAUAAUUACUUCAUUCUGAAACUUUUUUUAACUUAAAAUUUAUAUCGCUAUUCACAAUUUACAAAGUUCUCAUUAUGAAGGAAAAAAAACACAUAAGGUUUUGGCGGGAGAAAAUGUAUGUCUAUAGGACAAUUGAAACUGAGAUGUGAUAACGUAACGAAUUAGGUAGAAACAUUAGAAAAAGAAAGGAACCUCAGCUUUAGGAAGAUAUGAAGUAAAGUAUAUUGCCAAGGAACGGUUCACUUCACAUUGUACAAAGAUGAUAGUCCUUUUGUUGAACUAAACUAUGACUCAGAAUCUAUACGAAGAAUGAGUCGUUGUAGGAUGAUACAUGGUUAAAGCGCGAAUGAUUAACGGUGUGUGGAUAAUUAUUUUGUACCAAAUUCUAUUCUUUCACAUACUUCAAAUACUUACUUAUUGGAUAAAUAAAGUGCACGCAAAUGCUUAUCAAUGUUAACAUUGCAUGUAAAUUAUGUGAAAGAACCGUAAUUCGCGAAAAAAAAAUCUAUUCAAGUAUUGGAGACGCAAUAAUAACAAGUCAUGAACAUUUUGAUGCACAAGAACACAACUUUUACUACGUUUGCAAAUAAAGACACAUUUUUUAAAAUUUCUAAAUAUAUAAUGGCAACCUCUCUAAUACCUUAUUCAAUUGAAUAUUACAUAAAUUGUGACCCGAUUUCGUUAACAGGCUAUAACGACUUCCGCCCAUUUCAAUUGGCUUUACAUCAUAGGCUUGAACACACCUCCUGGUUCAGGGUGUUAUAUUGGCGGCCUAGAUAAGUUUUCAAACUGUAUACAUUGAAUUGAUCAGAACGUGUUCGACUGUGUGUUUAGACUAUUUCAAAAUGCAGAAUCUGAAAUGUAUUUUUUUUCAUGAGCUUCUUAAUAUAUCAUGGGUAAAGAUGUAUCAAAUUCGUUAUAUUUUUCUGACAGCACCCCAUAGCAAAUAUUUCGGUGAAUUGGAAAAGGUUGCUUAUACUGUAUCAACUUACAGUAGACAAAAGUACAAAGCUGCUACACCAAGUGCCUGUAAAAUUAAAAUUAAAAUAAUUUGUAAAUGUCUCAGCUGAGAGAAAGCCACAUUUGUUCAUAUGCUCUCUUUUGCCCUGACACAAUAAGAAUGUAAUUAUGGGAACAAAUAGUUAAAAUAAAUCAGUGUACCCUAAAACAUUAGACCCAGAAAAAUAGCAAACAUAUUUUCACAAAAGCAGAUACGACGCUGUACUGAAAAAAAAUUGAGGAAUAAAGAAAGAAACAUACUCUCCCCUAUAGAGUGAUAAAUCUUCCCGAUACUGAUAUCAGAGAACAAUAGUCGUCGUGGUAAAGUUGCUGGUAGCUGUACAAAAUGGCGAUUGGGGUCGAGUUAUCUACUAAGAUAUUAAAGAUGGUGUGUUUAACGUUCCCAAUCUUUCUUUUUAAUUAAUCACUUCGCGUUUGGCUAAAAACAGUAUAUCUGGAAAGUAAAUCGCUUUUUGCUAUUAUACCAGCAGAGGGUAAAAAAGCUAGAUUUAAAGCAUGAAGCUUCUCUUUUUCAUCAUUUUGGUUGCGUCAUCUUAUGCUGACACGUGGAUUGAAUAGUAGAUUAUAGCAGAUGAGAAAGAAAAAACAUUUAUAUAAAACAUAAAUGAUGAUUUACAAAAAAGAAGAUUUAAACAAUAUUUUGUAAAGGAAUAUAUAUAUAUAGAUGUAUUCAACUCUUUGUGACGAACGAUUAUUGAAAAGACAGUAUUGUUUUAAUUCACAUUGCCGAAAGUAUCUAUGAAUGAGAGAAAAGGACACUCCAAUUAACACGAAUAGAAACUUUAUUAAGGCUCAUAAUACAAGCUUGACGGUGAAAACUGAUCAUUGCCGCAUAAUAAAGGGAAAAAGAAAAAA